rnacentral:rRNA from 1 species
UGGGGAAUAUUGCACAAUGGGCGCAAGCCUGAUGCAGCCAUGCCGCGUGUAUGAAGAAGGCCUUCGGGUUGUAAAGUACUUUCAGUCGGGAGGAAGGUGGUAAGGUUAAUAACCUUAUCAAUUGACGUUACCGACAGAAGAAGCACCGGCUAACUCCGUGCCAGCAGCCGCGGUAAUACGGAGGGUGCAAGCGUUAAUCGGAAUUACUGGGCGUAAAGCGCACGCAGGCGGUUUGUUAAGUCAGAUGUGAAAUCCCCGGGCUCAACCUGGGAACUGAAUCUGAUACUGGCAAGCUUGAGUCUCGUAGAGGGGGGUAGAAUUCCAGGUGUAUCGGUGAAAUGCUUAGAGAUCUGGAGGAAUACCGGUGGCGAAGGCGGCCCACUGGACGAAGACUGACGCUCAGGUGCGAAAGCGUGGGGAGCAAACAGG